GUUGGUGCCGAUUGCGGUGAGGGUACACCCGUUCCCAUUCCGAACACGGAAGUUAAGCUCACCUGCGCCGAAGGUACUUGGCUGGAAACGGCCCGGGAGAAUAGGUGGUGCCAACA
rnacentral:rRNA from 1 species